rnacentral:rRNA from 1 species
GUGAGGAAUCUUCCACAAUGGGCGAAAGCCUGAUGGAGCAACGCCGCGUGAAGGAUGAAGGUCUUCGGAUUGUAAACUUCUUUUAUGAGUGAAGAAUAUGACGGUAACUCAUGAAUAAGCACCGGCUAACUACGUGCCAGCAGCCGCGGUCAUACGUAGGGUGCAAGCAUUAUCCGGAGUGACUGGGCGUAAAGAGUUGCGUAGGCGGUUAUGUAAGCGAAUAGUGAAACCUGGUGGCUCAACCACACAGACUAUUAUUCGAACUGCAUAACUCGAGAAUGGUAGAGGUAACUGGAAUUUCUUGUGUAGGAGUGAAAUCAGUAGAUAUAAGAAGGAACACCAAUGGCGUAGGCAGGUUACUGGGCCAUUUCUGACGCUAAGGCACGAAAGCGUGGGGAGCGAACCGGAUUAGAUACCCGAGUAGUCC